CCUACGGGAGGCUGCAGUGGGGAAUAUUGCACAAUGGGCGCAAGCCUGAUGCAGCCAUGCCGCGUGUGUGAAGAAGGCCUUCGGGUUGUAAAGCACUUUCAGCGGGGAGGAAGGCGUUAAGGUUAAUAACCUUGUCGAUCGACGUUACCCGCAGAAGAAGCACCGGCUAACUCCGUGCCAGCAGCCGCGGUAAUACGGAGAGUGCAAGCGUUAAUCGGAAUUACUGGGCGUAAAGCGCACGCAGGCGGUCUGUCAAGUCGGAUGUGAAAUCCCCGGGCUCAACCUGGGAACUGCAUUCGAAACUGGCAGGCUAGAGUCUUGUAGAGGGGGGUAGAAUUCCAGGUGUAGCGGUGAAAUGCGUAGAGAUCUGGAGGAAUACCGGUGGCGAAGGCGGCCCCCUGGACAAAGACUGACGCUCAGGUGCGAAAGCGUGGGGAGCAAACAGGAUUAGAUACCCCGGUAGUC
rnacentral:rRNA from 1 species